CCUACGGGAGGCAGCAGUGGGGGAUAUUGCACAAUGGGGGGAACCCUGAUGCAGCGACGCCGCGUGGGUGAAGAAGCGCCUCGGCGCGUAAAGCCCUGUCAGCAGGGAAGAAAAUGACGGUACCUGAAGAAGAAGCCCCGGCUAACUACGUGCCAGCAGCCGCGGUAAUACGUAGGGGGCAAGCGUUAUCCGGAUUUACUGGGUGGAAAGGGGGCGCAGACGGCGAUGCAAGCCAGGAGUGAAAGCCCGGGGCCCACCCCCGGGACUGCUCUUGGAACUGCGUGGCUGGAGUGCAGGAGGGGCAGGCGGAAUUCCUGGUGUAGCGGUGAAAUGCGUAGAGAUCAGGAGGAACACCGGUGGCGAAGGCGGCCUGCUGGACUGCAACUGACGUUGAGGCCCGAAAGCGUGGGGAGCAAACAGGAUUAGAUACCCCUGUAGUC
rnacentral:rRNA from 1 species